rnacentral:rRNA from 1 species
UACGGAGGAGGCAAGCGUUAUCCGGAAUUAUUGGGCGUAAAGCGUCCGUAGGUGGCUCUUCAAGUCUGCUGUCAAAGAGUGGGGCUUAACCCUGCAAAGGCAGUGGAAACUGAAAGGCUAGAGAGCCGUAGGGGUAGAGGGAAUUCCCGGUGUAGCGGUGAAAUGCGUAGAGAUCGGGAAGAACAUCGGUGGCGAAGGCGCUCUGCUGGACCAUAACUGACACUCAGGGACGAAAGCUAGGGGAGCGAAUGGG